CCAAUAGCGUAUAUUAAAGUUGUUGCAGUUAAAAAGCUCGUAGUUGAAUUUCGGGAUUAGUACGCUGGUCGUGCCUUCGGUACGUACUGGUGUUACUGGUUCCUACCUUCUGACGAACCGUCAUGUCAUUAAUUUGGUGUGGCGGGGAAUCAGGACUGUUACUUUGAAAAAAUUAGAGUGUUUAAAGCAGGCUCGCGCUUGAAUACAUUAGCAUGGAAUAAUGAAAUAGGACGUUCGAUCCUAUUUUGUUGGUUUCUAGGAUUGACGUAAUGAUUAAUAGGGAUAGUUGGGGGCAUUAGUAUUCAAUUGUCAGAGGUGAAAUUCUUGGAUUUAUUGAAGACUAACUACUGCGAAAGCAUUUGCCAAGGAUGUUUUCAUUAAUCAAGAACGAAAGUUAGGGGAUCGAAGACGAUCAGAUACCGUCGUAGUCUUAACCAUAAACUAUGCCGACUAGGGAUCGGAUGAUGUUAUUUUUAAUGACUCAUUCGGCGCCUUACG
rnacentral:rRNA from 1 species